rnacentral:lncRNA from 1 species
UGGUGUGGACGUAAAACUGUGUGUAGUGACUAUGGCUUUUAGAUUGUUGAGAUGGACGAGAAAAUAUAUGAGUGUGGUAAUUGUGGUGGAAGUGUAUGAUCUUGGGUUGGUGGUGGUGGCCUAUGGCGAUGAAGCGGUAGUGCUCUGGAUGCCUGGGUACAAUAGAUAAUGAAGUGGUGGCGUGAUAGUGAUUAGAGGCGGCAGCGGCAAGAGAGUGGUUGUGAGCGAGAAAUCGGGUGAAACUGUGGGG